AUGAAUGGAGUUACGGGGCUUAGCUGUCUCUAAACUAUUUAAUUGAAGUUGCUAUAUAGGUGAAAAAGCCUAUAUCAAGAAAAAAGACGAGAAGACCCUUAGAGUUUUACUUAAAGUAGAGUUAUUUCUUCACUAGUUUUGUUGGGGCAACAUAGGAGAAGAGUUAAACCUCCUAAAGUAUAUAAACCGAUGUUUUUAAAUGUGAAUAAACUACCUUAGGGAUAACAGCAUAAUUUUAAAAAUAAGUUUGUGACCUCGAUGUUGGACUAGGAAACUUAAAGGCUAGCCGCCUUUUGCUAUAAUUCCUACAUGAUCUGAGUU
rnacentral:rRNA from 1 species